AUGAGGAUCAGCAACUGACAGAGGCUGCAUGGCAGGGAGUUGAGCGAGAGGCUGGAGAGGAAAGAGGACAAACAAAACGGUUGCCAUACGAGAGUCACAAAGCAAAGAAACUGCUCGGCACUGCCGGAGGGAGGGAAGCGGCUGGAGAGAACCUUGGACCGCCGUGGACAACAAGGGGGCUUCCUCACCGUUGGUGACCAGGAACGACAAAUCCUCGCGGAAACACCUCUCCCGACUUCUGCAGUCCAGAGCCAUACGAGUUUUCUGAUGGAUUUGAUUGAAGAGCUCCGAUGGUCUUCGGCUCAAGGUGGGGCUCCGCCGCUGCUCCGCCUCGGCCGUCUUCACACGCCCCACCGCGUUGAUGCGGAAGCCCUCUCCACGUGGCCUUAAAAAUGCGGCUCAACUGCAACGAGAGAGCAGAUUCUCCCAUCUGUAUCCAGAUCUCCUUCAACAGACCGCAGGAGAAAAAUAGUUUAGCUGACAACUGCUGUGUUAUAUGAGUGGUGUAAUGUGUGGCAACGGCAUUCAGGAAGUGUUUUUGCAUCUGUGUGGAAGUGCGUGAAGCGAAAAGAGAAGUGGAGCGCCGCUGUGUUGGUCGAGCGUUCCCCCUGUGAUCUCCCACGCCAGCGAAACUGCUGACUGGCACUUUGCAGCACAGACAUGGAGAGCAUGCACAAUGUAAAGCUUCACACGCCACACACACACACACACACACCUCUGGGAGGCUUACUUGGCUCUACAUGGAGCUCUGGUUAUCAGCCAGCAGCUUCUGCAAACGACCCAUCAUCACACUCUUCACCUGGCAGUGUCUCGACAGUCCAUCCUUUUACAGCUCCACUGUGAAAAACGUGCGUGUGUGUGCAGGUGUUAGUGUGUAUGCGCAGAGGGCCUCGGUCCAGCCAUUACGUCUCGUGAAAGGCUUCUUCAUUUGUAACUGUAUAACGUGUUCCAACAUCAUGUCCACGGAUGUAUUACUUUUCCAUAUUACCUCAUGUUUUGAUGCCUCGAGUACAGAAAACUUAAAAGUUUAGGCUGGAACUGAAGCCCGAUGACCAGUAACUAGUUACUAAAUGAUUCUUAGUCAAUCACUCAAUGGAAAUUUUGACAUAUUUAUGCCCGCUCAUCGCGGCUUAAUUGGUUGCAAGUUUGCCGAGCCAGGAUGAGGAGGGGGAGCUAAGUCAAGCUAAGUCAAUCCAGGUGUAGAUAGCUGGGAUAAGUGCGCGUCCACGGCUUUCACAGAUUUACUGAUGUUGAAAUAAAGAAGACUCCAUGUACGUCAUAUUUUUUCCCCUGCUGAGCAACAACUAAUGAUGAGAAGGUGAAGCAUAUGUUAUGCAAAAAAUAGAAAAUACGGCACCUGUAAGAGAAAAGGCCUGACAGACAAUCGACUAAUGAAGGAUUUAAAAAUAUCUGCUUAAUAGGAAAGUUGCACACUGUGUUUUAAUUGCUUUUAAUAUGCUUGUUUUAUGUGUUGCUCUUAUUGCUGUAUCUGUGUUUAUGCCCUAAAUGUGCCGGUUUUACUGUAAAGUGUCUGAGUAGCCUACCAUGUAAAGCACUAUAUAAAUAUAAUGUAUUAUUAUUUAGCCUACUUUGCCUUAAGAGUGAGCAGAGGGAAUUCAUGUUUCCUAAAGACUAAUUUACCCUCAAGACUAGGCCUAAUUUCAAACCCUUAUGCACAAAGCUCUGUCUAAUUCUGAAUAGCUUUCUACAAUUAAUGUUCAUACAGAACAAACAAGGCUGGACAGAAAGAUAAAAUGUACAAAAACAUUUGCGGGCUAGUAAAUUUAUAAGAUGCCUGCUCACAUAUUUUAUCUAAUUUUGUAAUCUAUAAUUCAUGUUACCUGCAAUCUCUGAUGUAACACAUUCUUCAGUGACCAGGGAAGGUAAUAAAGAUGUGUGCCAAGGACUGCAGUGCCAAACACAGACUUCUGACUAAUAGGGACUUUAAUUUACAGUUCCGGCAUCUCCCACGGCAUAUAAGGACAUGCCACACAGACCGUCUGUGGGAUGGUGAGAGCAUGGCUUUGCGCCGUGUGUCUGAU
ensembl:lncRNA